UGGAAGCAUUACGCCUCCACACUCCUUCAACCUUCCUGGGGGUCCCGGUGAAGGCGCCUUUAUCCUCCCAUUUCACAGAGGAGGAAAUUGCGGCCCAGAGAGGGGAAGAUGCUUCCUCAAGGCCACAGCUUGUCCAUGGCAAAGCAGAGACGCAAGGCCAGGUGGGUCCUCUUCUUUGAGGGCUCUGCUUACUUCAGCCACGCCGAAAACAACAUCUUUUCCACCACACCACGUUUCCUUGCAAAUUACCCCUCACAGGUAAGAACUAGUCUCCGCAUCUCACUACAAAGCAGUUUCUCCCAUGUCCUCUGCUUCACACACUUCUGCCUGAAGGAAAACACCCGCAACUGAGAACUCAUCUAAGCUGGGAAAAAUCCACUCUCGGAACAUAAAUCUGUAGUUUACAAGAGCAAGGAAAAUCCCCUUUGGGAAGCUUCUGGAGACAGCUCAAAAAGACAAAGUCUGGGGACUUUAGAAAGAAAAGCUGAAAUGGGUUCAGCAGUGAUCUUCAGGAGUUGUCACACCCUGGGGGCACCCACAUCCGUGGAGAUUGAUGGCAAGAAGGCUUGUCGUUUGAUCUUGUGAAGGUUGCCAAACGCCCAGUGGGGUACUGAGGGUGGAGAGAGGGUAGACACCUCUGCUACGUGGUAUCUGCCUUCUGGAGUUUGUAGCUUCGCCUCUGCUUGGGUUGGCCUGUGAAAGGUCUUUCAUUCAACUCACUAAGCCUUGACUGAUCCCGAGGUUGGAGUGCUGGAGAUCAUAAAAACACAGCGUGUCCACGGAGAACUUAGAAUCAGGUAGAGGAGACAGUCUCAUGAACUAAUAAAUACAGGUUUUCUCCACAAA